ACGACCUUACUUGAACAGGAUCUGUUCUAUAGGAAGUACUUCUGUGUCCUUGAUUUCUAAGGAGAAACAUGAUAUUGAAAUUAAAUAGUUA
rnacentral:snoRNA from 1 species